UAUGGUCUCUACAACAGUGCUGAAACUGAAAAAAUGACCAUUGUGUACAAUGGGAAAGUCUUUGAUUUUGAUCUUUCUGCACUCAAGGUGCACAAUAUUCUGAAAAUUGCUGCUGAGGAAAAACUCUCAAAAUCUGCUGAAUCUACGGAGACCGAAGUUUUACAGAUUUUGUGUGAACAAGAUCUUUCAGAAAAUCUUCCCAUGGCUAGGAGGAAAACUUUGU